rnacentral:rRNA from 1 species
UUAAGCGACUAAGCGUACACGGUGGAUGCCCUGGCAGUCAGAGGCGAUGAAGGACGUGCUAAUCUGCGAAAAGCGUCGGUAAGGUGAUAUGAACCGUUAUAACCGGCGAUGUCCGAAUGGGGAAACCCAGUGCAAUUCGUUGCACUAUCGUUAACUGAAUACAUAGGUUAACGAGGCGAACCGGGGGAACUGAAACAUCUAAGUACCCCGAGGAAAAGAAAUCAACCGAGAUUCCCCCAGUAGCGGCGAGCGAACGGGGAGCAGCCCAGAGUCUGAAUCAGCUUGUGUGUUAGUGGAACGGUCUGGAAAGUCCGACGGUACAGGGUGAUAGUCCCGUACACCAAAAUGCACAGGUUGUGAACUCGAAGAGUAGGGCGGGACACGUGGUAUCCUGUCUGAAUAUGGGGGGACCAUCCUCCAAGGCUAAAUACUCCUGACUGACCGAUAGUGAACCAGUACCGUGAGGGAAAGGCGAAAAGAACCCCGGCGAGGGGAGUGAAAAAGAACCUGAAACCGUGUACGUACAAGCAGUGGGAGCACCUUCGGGUGUGACUGCGUACCUUUUGUAUAAUGGGUCAGCGACUUAUAUUCUGUAGCAAGGUUAACCGUAUAGGGGAGCCGCAGGGAAACCGAGUCUUAACUGGGCGUUAAGUUGCAGGGUAUAGACCCGAAACCCGGUGAUCUAGCCAUGGGCAGGUUGAAGGUUGGGUAACACUAACUGGAGGACCGAACCGACUAAUGUUGAAAAAUUAGCGGAUGACUUGUGGCUGGGGGUGAAAGGCCAAUCAAACCGGGAGAUAGCUGGUUCUCCCCGAAAGCUAUUUAGGUAGCGCCUCGUGAACUCAUCUUCGGGGGUAGAGCACUGUUUCGGCUAGGGGGUCAUCCCGACUUACCAACCCGAUGCAAACUACGAAUACCGAAGAAUGUUAUCACGGGAGACACACGGCGGGUGCUAACGUCCGUCGUGAAGAGGGAAACAACCCAGACCGCCAGCUAAGGUCCCAAAGUCAUGGUUAAGUGGGAAACGAUGUGGGAAGGCACAGACAGCCAGGAUGUUGGCUUAGAAGCAGCCAUCAUUUAAAGAAAGCGUAAUAGCUCACUGGUCGAGUCGGCCUGCGCGGAAGAUGUAACGGGGCUAAACCAUGCACCGAAGCUGCGGCAGCGACACUAUGUGUUGUUGGGUAGGGGAGCGUUCUGUAAGCCUGCGAAGGUGUGCUGUGAGGCAUGCUGGAGGUAUCAGAAGUGCGAAUGCUGACAUAAGUAACGAUAAAGCGGGUGAAAAGCCCGCUCGCCGGAAGACCAAGGGUUCCUGUCCAACGUUAAUCGGGGCAGGGUGAGUCGACCCCUAAGGCGAGGCCGAAAGGCGUAGUCGAUGGGAAACAGGUUAAUAUUCCUGUACUUGGUGUUACUGCGAAGGGGGACGGAGAAGGCUAUGUUAGCCGGGCGACGGUUGUCCCGGUUUAAGCAUGUAGGCUGAUUGUCCAGGCAAAUCCGGAUAAUCAAGGCUGAGGUGUGAUGACGAGGCACUACGGUGCUGAAGUAACAAAUGCCCUGCUUCCAGGAAAAGCCUCUAAGCAUCAGGUAACAUCAAAUCGUACCCCAAACCGACACAGGUGGUCAGGUAGAGAAUACCAAGGCGCUUGAGAGAACUCGGGUGAAGGAACUAGGCAAAAUGGUGCCGUAACUUCGGGAGAAGGCACGCUGGUGUGUAGGUGAAGUCCCUGCGGAUGGAGCUGAGACCAGUCGAAGAUACCAGCUGGCUGCAACUGUUUAUUAAAAACACAGCACUGUGCAAACACGAAAGUGGACGUAUACGGUGUGACGCCUGCCCGGUGCCGGAAGGUUAAUUGAUGGGGUUAUCCGUAAGGAGAAGCUCUUGAUCGAAGCCCCGGUAAACGGCGGCCGUAACUAUAACGGUCCUAAGGUAGCGAAAUUCCUUGUCGGGUAAGUUCCGACCUGCACGAAUGGCGUAAUGAUGGCCAGGCUGUCUCCACCCGAGACUCAGUGAAAUUGAACUCGCUGUGAAGAUGCAGUGUACCCGCGGCAAGACGGAAAGACCCCGUGAACCUUUACUAUAGCUUGACACUGAACAUUGAGCCUUGAUGUGUAGGAUAGGUGGGAGGCUUUGAAGCUUCUUAAGCCUUUAUGCCAUCUCACCAAUAGUCUUACGAAAACGCAGCAACGCGAUAGUAAAGAACACUCCGCCGAUAGCCAGCAAGGUUAAGAACUGCGGCCAGACGAUGGCGAAGCUGGCGCCUCGAUACAAUAUCGCCUGCGCCAGGCUGACGAAGUGGGUGGUCGGCAUGGUCAACAUAAUAUCCUGUACCAGCUGCGGCAUACUUUCUCGCGGCGUGGAUCCGCCGGAGAGCAUCUGCAGCGGCAGUAAGACCAGGAUCAUCAGCAGCCCCAGCUGCGGCAUCGAGCGGGCGAGGGUGCCCAUAAAAAUGCCGAUCGAGGUCGUGGCGAACAGGCUGAGCGCCACCCCCAGCAUAAACAGGGGAAUCGACCCUUCAAUGGGCACCUGCAAAAUCCCCUGUACCAUCAGUAUCAGUGACAACCCGGAGACCACCAGCACCACCAGGCCCAUCGACCAGAUCUUGGCCAGCAUAAUUUCAAACGGCGUGAUCGGCAUCACCAGCAGAUGCUCAAUGG